GCGGAGGAAAAGAAACUAACGAGGAUUCCCAUAGUAACGGCGAGUGAAAAGGGAAAAGCCCAGCGCUGAAUCCAUCGAUCACUGGUCGCUUGGAAUUGUAGCGUAUAGGUGCGGCUAUCCGCUCGUUUCGUGCACCCAAAGUCCCCUUGAGCGGGGCCAUAGUCCAAAGAAGGUGCUAGACCUGUACGGGUGGCGAGGCGGUCGGUUGGUCGCUCCUUGGAGUCGGGUUGCCUGGGAUCGCAGCCCAAAGUUGGUGGUAGACCUCAUCUAAGGCUAAAUAUGGCCACGAAACCGAUAGCAAACAAGUACCGUGAGGGAAAGUUGCAAAGAACUUUGAAGAGAGAGUUCAAGAGGGCGUGAAACCGCCGAGAUUGAAACGGAUAGAGUUGACGAAACUCGAUCGCAUUCAUCCGAUCCGCCUAGCGGUUCGGCGGUUGUUGACUUCCUCGAUGAGGGCAGCGCCGUCGCUGGCUGUUGGGUGCUAGAUCGGUGUAUUUGCGGUCGGUAUGCGCUGAGAGCUUUGCGAGCGCAUGUUGACGUUGGUGUAGUGGACCACUCCCUCCGGGCGUGGAACCCUGCGCUGGUUGAGGCAUGUCGUUCGUAGGGUGUUGCUGGUGACGUCUCCGCUAUGGUGCGUCGGCUUUGUCGGACUAUUGCGGCUGCUGGGUGAUCGCAUGCGAGCGCCUGUAGUUUGCGAUGGUACGGUGAGGUGCGGACGCGCUUGGGACGUGCAUCUCGGUGUGAACGUUGACCACCUAUCCGACCCGUCUUGAAACACGGACCAAGGAGUCUAGCAUAUGCGCGAGUCAUUGGGUGGUAAACCUAAAGGCGUAAUGAAAGUAAAGGUCGUCUUGUUACGGCUGAUAUGGGAUCUGUGCGGCUUUCGAGCCAUGCAGCGCACCAUAGCCCCGUCCCGGUUGCUUGCAAUGGGGCGGAGGUAGAGCGCAUACGCUGGGACCCGAAAGAUGGUGAACUAUGCCUGAGCAGGAUGAAGCCAGAGGAAACUCUGGUGGAAGUCCGAAGCGGUUCUGACGUGCAAAUCG
rnacentral:rRNA from 1 species